rnacentral:rRNA from 1 species
UACGAAGGGGACUAGCGUUGUUCGGAAUUACUGGGCGUAAAGGGCUCGUAGGCGGCCAACUAAGUCAGACGUGAAAUCCCUCGGCUUAACCGGGGAACUGCGUCUGAUACUGGAUGGCUUGAGUUUGGGAGAGGGAUGCGGAAUUCCAGGUGUAGCGGUGAAAUGCGUAGAUAUCUGGAGGAACACCGGUGGCGAAGGCGGCAUCCUGGACCAACACUGACGCUGAGUGAGCGAAAGCCAGGGGAGCAAACGGG